CUUCUCCCAAAGUACAGCAAAGGUAAAUACAAUGCACAUAACACAGCACACCAUUAAAAACAUAAGGAAUAUACAGAAUACAAUAUACAAUAGUGUAAAUGGGCAGGUAUCAGCAGAUAUGUUCUAUAAAUAAUACAAGAAAGCAAAUCUUAUAAAAUAACAAGUGUUCCCUGAUGGAGUAAUUCUGUGUUCAAUGGCUGUAUGGCAUAGGGAAUGAAAUACUUCUUGUAAAUGUUCCAGCAGGUCCAUGGGACCCUAAAUCUAACAUUUACUAUACUCUGAUAAAGUGAUUGAUCCAUUGAUGAACAGCAUCAUCAGAGUAAUCCAAGUCCCUGUUGGAGUCAGUCAGAGCAUUUCCAUAGAGAGCCACUUUGCAUCAGCAGCACCAUGCUCCAGUGCUCUGGGAGAGUUUAUAGUCCUGAGAGUUGAACACUGGAUGACUGACAGCUGUCCUUCAUGACAACAGAAGACACAGAAAUCCUCCUCAUCAAAAACAUGACUUUGAUCUCCGUCCUCAUCUGGACUCUCCUCUGCUGCUGCUUCACAGAGUCCAGAGGCCAGGUCACAGUGACUCAGCCUGGAGCAGUGAGCUCUGCUCUGGGAGGCUCCGUCUCCAUCAGCUGUAGGACCAGUCAGAAUAUUUAUGUUUGGAGCGACGGCACCAAAGGUCUAUCCUGGUACCAACAGAGAGAUGGAGAAACUCCUAAGCUCCUUUACUAUUCAAGAACUCGACAAUCAGGGAUUCCAGAUCGUUUUACAGGCAGUGGAUCAAACUCUGACUUCACUCUGACCAUCAGUGGAGUCCAGACUGAAGAUGCAGCAGUUUACUACUGUCAGAGGUAUCACUAUAUCAACAGUCAGAAUGUGUUCACACAGUGA